AGUAAAGUGGCGAAAGGGUGAGUACAGUUGGAUAACCUGCCCUGAAGAGGAGGAUAAGAUCGGGAAACCGUUGUAAUACUCCUAUAAGACACGGAUAUCGUAUCGGGGUAAAAGGAUACCGCUUCAGGAGGGGUCAAUGACUAUCAGCUUGUUGGUGAGGUAAUGGCUCACCAAGGCGGCGACGGUUACCUGGUCUGAGAGGAUGUCCAGGCACAUUGGGACUGAGACACUGCCCAAACACCUACGGGUGGCUGCAGUUCGGAAUAUCCACAAUGCGCGAAAGCGUGAUGGGGCGACGCCGCGUGUGUGACGAAGGCCCUCGGGUUGUAAAGCACUGUCAGGAGCUAGCAAAUGGAAACUUGAGUUAAACUCCAGAGGAAGGACCGGCUAACUACGUGCCAGCAGCCGCGGUACACGUAGGGUCCAAACGUUGUUCGGUGUCACUGGGCUUAAAGGGCUCGCAGGCGGUCUGUUAAGUGAGAUGUGAAAUCCCGCGGCUCACCCGCGGACGUGCAUUUCAUACUGGCAGACUAGAGGCAUGCAGAGGUAAGGGGAAUUCUUGGUGUAGCGGUGACAUGCCCAGAUAUCAAGGAGAAGACCGGUGGCGAAGGCGCCUUACUAGGGCAUGACCUGACGCUCAUGAGCGAAAGCUUGGGGUAGCAAACAGGAUUAGAUACCCUGGUAGUCCACGCUGUUGACGAUGUUACACUAGGGUAGGGGAGAUAACGAGUUUUCCCCUGCCGUAGCGGAAAGCGUUAAGUGUACCGCCUGGGGAGUAUGGUCGCAAGGUCUGAAACUCUAAGGAAUUGACGGGUGCUCACACAAGCGGUGGAGCAUGUUGCUUAAUUCGAAGCAACGCGUAGAACCUUACCCGGAUUUGACAUCUACGGAUUAGCUAUAUGAAUAUAUGGUGACGCCUUACCGGUGGAACGUAGACAGGCGCUGCACGUCUGUCGUCAGCUCGUGCCGUGAGGUGUCGGGUUAAGUCCCUUAACGAGCGAAACCCCUAUCCCUAGUUGCCAGCGGUUCGUCCGGGGACUCUAGGGAGACUGCCGGUGUUAAACCGGAGGAAGGUGGGGAUGACGUCAAGUCAUCAUGGCCCUUACAUCCGGGGCGGCAAACGUGCUACAAU
rnacentral:rRNA from 1 species